rnacentral:rRNA from 1 species
UGAACGUCAGUAGAGCAUCUAGUGGAUGCCUUGGUGUACAUAGACGAUGACGGGCCUUGUCUGCGCGGACUGCAAGAAGCGCAGGUUGCCCUAAUGGGAGUACCCGUUUGUCGAUGAGAGACAAACGUCUGUUUAGACGUUAACGCAGAGAACUGAAACAUCUUAGUAUCUGCAGGAAAGGAAAUUCUUAGAGACUCCGUUAGUAGUGGCGAGCGAAUGCGGAAGAGGCUGAUUUAGCUAUAAAACAAAAAGCAGUUGUUUGGAAAGGCAAGCGCAGUUUGGUGAUAGCCCAGAGCUUGAAAUGUUGUAGCUAAUGGAAAGUAGGACGGGACACGAGGAAUCUUGUUUGAAGAUAGGAGGACCACCUUCUAAGCCUAAGUACUUAUGUAUAACCGAUAGCGAACUAGUACCGUGAGGGAAAGGUGAAAUAGAGUCUGAACAAGACAGUGAAACAGAUCCUGAAACUGGAUGCUUACAAUCAGUCGGAGGGCUCGAAAUGCCUGACGACGUACCUUUUGUAUAAUGGGUCAACGAGUUAAUGUUGCGAGCAAAGCUUAAGCUUUUUGUGUAGGCGUAGCGAAAGCGAGUCUUAAUAGGGCGUCAAAAGUUCGCAGUAUUAAACCCGAAACCGAGUGAUCUAACCAUGAACAGGCUGAAGGUUGGUUAACGCUGACUGGAGGGCCGAACCCGUGUCUGUUGCAAAAGGCUGGGAUGAUUUGUGGUUAGGGGUGAAAGGCUAAUCAAACUCGGAGAUAGCUGGUUCUCUGCGAAAUCUAUUUAGGUAGAGUGUCAAGUUAACUUCUAGUAGGGGUAGAGCACUAGAUAGGUGAUGGGAGGUCACACUUUACUGAUCUUAACUAAACUCCGAAUACUGCUAUGAUGAUACUUGGCAAACACACUGCGGGCGCUAACGUCCGCGGUGGAGAGGGAAACAACCCAGACCUUAAGCUAAGGUCCUUAAAUCUGAGCUAAAUGUGAAAGGCUGUGAACGCCCUGUGACAAUCAGGAUGUAGGCUCAGAAGCGGCCAUCAUUUAAAGAAAGCGUAACAGCUCACUGAUCUAGGAGUGUUUGCACCGAAAAUGUAACGGGACUAAGCUCAGUACCGAAGCGAAGGGCGCGGCCGAUUUGGCUGCGCGGUAGCAGAGCGUUCCGUAGGUUGUAGAAGGUGUUUCGUGAGAAAUGCUGGAGACAUCGGAAGUGAGAAUGUUGACAUGAGUAGCGUAAAUGAGAGUGAGAAACUUUCACGCCGAAAGACCUAGGUUUCCUAUUAGCGUAUUUAAAGUUAAUCUGAAUAGGGUUAGCCGGCACCUAAGGUGAAGCAGAAGUGCGUAGCCGAUGGAAAUCGCGUUAAUAUUCGCGAGCCUUCUUUAAGUGACUUGGAGCUUGAACUGUUCGGCCUGACUGGAUUGGUGUGAGCUUUUCAAGUUUCAACAGGAAAAAGCUUAAAAACUUUAGGCCGUACCUAAACCGACACAGGUGGUCUGGUAGAGUAUACUAAGGCGUGGAGCUAAUUGUGCUGAAGGAACUCGGCAAAAUGCGCGCGUAACUUCGGGACAAGCGCGACCUGUAUGUGGGCAACCACUUCAGGUGUAACAGAAAUGGGGGGAGCGACUGUUUAUCAAAAACACAGGACUCUGCAAAAUCGUAAGAUGAAGUAUAGGGUCUGACGCCUGCCCGGUGCUGGAAGGUGAAAAAUUGAAUGUUUUAAAAGCGUUCAGUAUAAGCCCCAGUAAACGGCGGCCGUAACUAUAACGGUCCUAAGGUAGCGAAAUUCCUUGUCGGAUAAGUUCCGACCCGCACGAAUGGCGUAACGACUUCCCUACUGUCUCCAGCACAAGCUCCGUGAAAUUGAAUUCCCCGUGAAGAUGCGGGGUACCUGCGGUAAGACGGAAAGACCCCGUGCACCUUAACUAUAGCUUUAUAUUGAUGUUGCUUAACGACUGUGUAGCGUAGGUGGGAGGCGAUGAAUGCUGGGUGUUAGCUUGGCUGGAGCUGACAAUGAAACACCACUCUGGCGGCGGGUAGCGUCUUACUAUGGUUGUGUCAUUCACAAUCGAGGACAGUGUAUGGUGGGUAGUUUGACUGGGGCGGUCGCCUCCUAAAGAGUAACGGAGGCGUGCAAAGGUAAACUCAAAACGGUUGGAAACCGUUUGUAGAGCGUAAUGGUAUAAGUUUGCCUGACUGUAAGACGUACAUGUCAAACAGAGACGAAAGUCGGCCAUAGUGAUCCGGUGGUUCCGUGUGGAAGGGCCAUCGCUUAACGGAUAAAAGGUACGCCGGGGAUAACAGGCUAAUAACUCCUGAGAGAUCUUAUCGACGGAGUUGUUUGGCACCUCGAUGUCGACUCAUCGCAUCCUGGGGCUGAAGCAGGUCCCAAGGGUAUGGCUGUUCGCCAUUUAAAGCGGUACGUGAGUUGGGUUCAGAACGUCGCGAGACAGUUCGGUCCCUAUCUACCGUGGGUGGAAGAGCGUUGACGGGGGCUGUCUCUAGUACGAGAGGACCGAGAUGGACGUACCGCUGGUGUUCCUGUUGUUCCGCCAGGAGCAUUGCAGGGUAGCUACGUACGGAAUAGAUAACUGCUGAAAGCAUCUAAGCAGGAAGCUAGCCCGAAGACUAACGCUCUAUGUUAGAGACGUGAUAGACUAUCACGUUGAUAGGCCAGAGGUGUAAGUGUGGUAACACAUUUUAGCUUACUGGUACUAAUUUCUCGAAAGUUCAUAAG